CGGAGGGUGCAAGCGUUAUCCGGAAUCAUUGGGUUUAAAGGGUCCGCAGGCGGACUUAUAAGUCAGUGGCGAAAGCCUACAGCUUAACUGUAGAACUGCCAUUGAUACUGUAAGUCUUGAAUUCGGUCGAAGUGGGCGGAAUAUGACAUGUAGCGGUGAAAUGCUUAGAUAUGUCAUAGAACACCGAUAGCGAAGGCAGCUCACUAGGCCUGGAUUGACGCUCAUGGACGAAAGCGUGGGGAGCAAACAGGAUUAGAUACCCUGGUAGUCCACGCCGUAAACUAUCAAUACUCGUUCUCGGCGAUAUACAGUCGGGGACUAAGCGAAAGUAGAUAAGUAUUAGCACCUGGGAGUACGAUCGCAAGGUUG
rnacentral:rRNA from 1 species